rnacentral:rRNA from 1 species
UACGAAGGGGGCUAGCGUUGUUCGGAAUUACUGGGCGUAAAGCGCGCGCAGGCGGUCCUUUAAGUCAGGGGUGAAAGCCCAGAGCUCAACUCUGGAACUGCCUUUGAAACUAGAGGACUUGAGUUCGGGAGAGGUGAGUGGAAUGCCGAGUGUAGAGGUGAAAUUCGUAGAUAUUGGGAAGAACACCGGUGGCGAAGGCGGCGACCUGGUCCGAUACUGACGCUGAGGCGCGAAAGCGUGGGGAGCAAACAGG